rnacentral:lncRNA from 1 species
GAUCUUCUCGAGGGUCUGGUAAGUUAGCCCUCACGAGUGGCGUUGUGUGCCUGUGGUGAUUUUGUGCCUACCGCAUCUAGCAUUUUUCAUCUUCGUGUCAGAUGCAGUGUGUGCAAGCGGCGAGCUUGUGCCUUCGGCAUCUUACACUCUCGGCGAUAUUCUGAGGGUCUGAUUAGUUAUCCCUUUGGAGGUUCCUUAAGGGUCGUCCUCCGCUUCUCGUGCGAUUCGGACUCUACAAAGGUCUAGUAAGUUAGCCCC